AGAGUUGAUCCUGGCGUCAGGAUGAACGCUAGCUACAGGCUAACACAUGCAAGUCGAGGGCAGCAUGGGAUUAGCUUGCUAAUCCUGAUGGCGACCGGCGCACGGGUGAGUAACGCGUAUCCCAACCUCCCCCUGCUCAGGGAUAGCCCGGUGAAAACCGGAUUAAUACCUGAUGGUUUCAUUUGACGGCAUCAGAUGAUGAAUAAAGAAUUUCGGCAAGGGAGUGGGGAUGCGUCUGAUUAGCUUGUUGGCGGGGUAACGGCCCACCAAGGCGACGAUCAGUAGGGUUCUGAGAGGAAGGUCCCCCACAUUGGAACUGAGACACGGUCCAAACUCCUACGGGAGGCAGCAGUGAGGAAUAUUGGUCAAUGGGCGCGAGCCUGAACCAGCCAAGUAGCGUGCAGGACGACGGCCCUAUGGGUUGUAAACUGCUUUUGUGCGGGAAUAAAGUCAGGGACGCGUCCCUGUUUGCAUGUACCGCAAGAAUAAGGACCGGCUAAUUCCGUGCCAGCCGCCGC
rnacentral:rRNA from 1 species